AGCUUUGAGGGUAAAGUGUCUGCCUGCAAUGUGGAAGACCCAGGUUCGAUCCCUGG
rnacentral:tRNA from 1 species